rnacentral:rRNA from 1 species
UACGUAGGGCGCAAGCGUUAUCCGGAAUUAUUGGGCGUAAAGAGCUCGUAGGCGGUCUGUUGCGUCCGCUGUGAAAACCCGGGGCUCAACCCCGGGCCUGCAGUCGAUACGGGCAGACUAGAGUGUGGUAGGGGAGACUGGAAUUCCUGGUGUAGCGGUGGAAUGCGCAGAUAUCAGGAGGAACACCGGUGGCGAAGGCGGGUCUCUGGGCCAUAACUGACGCUGAGGAGCGAAAGCGUGGGGAGCGAACAGG